rnacentral:rRNA from 1 species
CAAUAGACCCGAAACCGGGUGACCUACCCAUGGUCAGGAUGAAGUUACCGUAAAAGGUAAUGGAGGUCCGAACUCACAUCUGUUGAAAAAGGUGGAGAUGAACUGUGGGUAGCGGAGAAAUUCCAAUCGAACCCGGAGAUAGCUGGUUCUCCUCGAAAUAGCUUUAGGGCUAGCGUGGAUAGGAGUCUAAUGGAGGUAAAGCACUGAAUUGCCUAGGGGGCCCACAAGCUUACCGAAGCAUAUCAAACUCAGAAUGCCAUAAAGAUACCAUCUGCAGUCAGACUAUGAGUGAUAAGACCCAUGGUCAAAAGGAAAACAGUCCAGACCAUCAGCUAAGGUCCCCAAGUGUGUGUUAAGUGGAAAAGGAUGUGAGAUUUCGAAGACAACUAGGAUGUUGGCUUAGAAGCAGCCAUUCAUUCAAAGAGUGCGUAAUAGCUCACUAGUCGAGAGAUCUUGCGCCGAAAAUGUCCGGGGCUCAAACACACCACCGAAGCUAUGGAAUACAUCUUAAAGAUGGAUUGGUAGAGGAGCGUUGCAAGUGCGCCGAAGCAGUACCGUGAGGAGCUGUGGAGCGCUUGCAAGUGAGAAUGCCGGAAUGAGUAGCGAGAUACAAGUGAGAAUCUUGUAGGCCGAAUAUCCAAGGUUUCCAGAGUAAAGCUGAUCUGCUCUGGGUAAGUCGGGACCUAAGGCGAGGACGAAAGUCGUAGUCGAUGGACAACUGGUUCAAAUUCCAGUACCACCUAUUAUCAGAACUGCAGGGACGCAGGAGGAUAAGGAAUCCAGGGAAUGGUAUCUCUGGGCAAGCACAAAGUCGCAUCUGGUAGGUAAAUCCGCCAGACGAGGAUGAAGUGUGAUGCGGAUCGAAAUUUAAGUAGAGAAGUUCCUGAAUCCACACUGCCGAGAAAAGCUGCUAUUGCGUGAUAGGUGCCCGUACCGUAAACCGACACAGGUGGAUGAGGAGAGAAUCCUAAGGCCGACGGGAGAAGCGUUGUUAAGGAACUCGGCAAAAUGACCCCGUAACUUAGGGAGAAGGGGUGCCAGCUUCGGCUGGCCGCAGAGAAUAGGCCCAAGCAACUGUUUAACAAAAACACAGGUCUUUGCUAAACCGAAAGGUGAUGUAUAAGGGCUGACGCCUGCCCGGUGCUGGAAGGUUAAGGGGAGAGGUUAGUCGUAAGGCGAAGCUUUGAACUUAAGCCCCAGUAAACGGCGGCCGUAACUAUAACGGUCCUAAGGUAGCGAAAUUCCUUGUCAGGUAAGUUCUGACCCGCACGAAAGGCGUAAUGAUUUGGGCACUGUCUCGACAGCGCACCCGGUGAAAUUGUAGUACCAGUGAAGAUGCUGGUUACCCGCGACAGGACGGAAAGACCCCGUGGAGCUUUACUGUAGCUUGAUACUGAGGUUGGGUAUUACAUGUACAGGAUAGGAGGGAGACUUUGAAGCCAGGACGCCAGUCUUGGUGGAGUCAAUGGUGGGAUACCUCUCUUGUAAUACUUAACUUCUAACCUGAGGCCAU